GCGGAGGGCCGGAUGGCCGCUGGGGUCGCGAGACCCGAGAGGAAAGUCCGGACUCCACAAGGCAACGGUGCCGGGUAACGCCCGGGCGGGGAAACCCGACGGAAAGCGCCACAGAAAUCAGACCGCCACACGCGUGUGGUAAGGGUGAAACGGUGGGGUAAGAGCCCACCGCGCCGCUGGCAACAGCGGCGGCACGGCAAGCCCCACCGGGAGCAAUGCCGAAUAGGGUCCCCGCGCGGGCCGGUCGGUGCGAACCGAUACCGCCGCUAGGCUCGCCUUGGCCGAGAGGGACCGGGUUGGCAGCUCGAGCCGCGCAGCAAUGCACGGCCUAGAGGAAUGGUCAUCGAAGGGGGCAACCCCGGAACAAGAUCCGGCUUACAGGCCCUCCGCGCAU
rnacentral:RNase_P_RNA from 1 species